GAUUCUGGCUCAGGAUGAACGCUGGCGGCAUGCCUAAUACAUGCAAGUCGAACGGGAGUGCUUGCACUCCAGUGGCGAACGGGUGAGUAAUACAUAGGUAACCUGUCCUUAAGACGAGGAUAGCUUCUAGAAAUGGAAGAUAAAACUGGAUAGGACAUCACGAAUCACAUGAUUAGAUGUUUAAAAGAGCAAUCUACUUAAGGAGGGGCCUGUGGCGCAUUAGCCAGAUGGCGGGGUAAUGGCCCACCAUAGCGAUGAUGCGUAGCCGGUCUGAGAGGACGAACGGCCACAUUGGGACUGAGACACGGCCCAGACUCCUACGGGAGGCAGCAGUAGGGAAUUUUCGGCAAUGGGUGGAAGCCUGACCGGGCAAUGCCGCGUGAAUGAAGAAGUAUUUCGGUAUGUAAAGUUCUUUUAUUUGGGACGAAAAAACAAAUUGACGGUACCAAAUGAAUAAGCCCCGGCUAACUAUGUGCCAGCAGCAGC
rnacentral:rRNA from 1 species